rnacentral:tRNA from 1 species
GGAGAGAUGGCCGAGUGGCUGAAGGCGCAUGAUUGCUAAUCAUGUAUACCUGUAAAGGGUAUCCAGGGUUCGAAUCCCUGUCUCUCCG